GACGAACCGAGCGAACGUUGUUUGGAAUCACUGGGCCUAAAGGGUGCGUAGGCGGGCCACCAAGUCUGUGGUGAAAUUCUCUGGCUUAACCAGAGUAGUGCCGCGGAUACUGGGGGCCUCGAGGGGGGUAGGGGCAUGCGGAACUGAUGGUGGAGCGGUGAAAUGCGUUGAUAUCAUCAGGAACUCCGGUGGCGAAGGCGGCAUGCUGGACCUUUUCUGACGCUGAGGCACGAAAGCCAGGGGAGCGAACGGG
rnacentral:rRNA from 1 species